GACGAACGCUGGCGGCGCGCCUAACACAUGCAAGUCGAGCGGAGAUAUUUAAAGGAAGUUUUCGGAUGGAAUUUGAGUAUUUUAGCGGCGGACGGGUGAGUAACGCGUGAGUGACCUGCCUUCCACAGGGGGAUAACGUACCGAAAGGUACACUAAUACCGCAUGAGACCACACCACUGCCUGGUGCAGGGGUCAAAGGAGCAAUCCGGUGGAAGAUGGACUCGCGUCCGAUUAGAUAGUUGGUGGGGUAACGGCCUACCAAGUCAGCGAUCGGUAGCCGACCUGAGAGGGUGAUCGGCCACAUUGGAACUGAGAGACGGUCCAAACUCCUACGGGAGGCAGCAGUGGGGAAUAUUGGCAAUGGGGGAAACCCUGACCCAGCGACGCCGCGUGAGGGAAGAAGGUUUUCGGAUUGUAAACCUCUGUUCUUGGUGAAGAGGGAAAGACGGUAGCCAAGGAGGAAGCCCCGGCUAACUACGUGCCAGCCGCCGCGGUAA
rnacentral:rRNA from 1 species